UACGUAGGGACCGAGCGUUGUCCGGAUUCAUUGGGCGUAAAGAGCUCGGAGGCGGCCACUCAAGUCGAAUGUGAAACCUCGAGGCUUAACCUCGAGCCUGCAUUCGAUACUGGGCGGCUAGAGUCUGGUAGGGGGAUCUGGAAUUCCUGGUGUAGCGGUGGAAUGCGCAGAUAUCAGGAGGAACACCGGUGGCGAAGGCGGGAUCCUGGGCAUUAACUGACGCUGAGGAGCGAAAGCAUGGGGAGCGAACAGG
rnacentral:rRNA from 1 species